GAAUACUAAAUAAUAAUAAUAAUAAUAAUAAGCGUUAAAGAGUCUAACAUCUGAGACUUUUUGUCUUAGGUAAUGUGAAUUUCUCUCUUUUUAAAGUCAGGAAUACUGAUAAGUGUCCUUACUGGAGUACCACAGGAAUUCCAAUUCUGUCAGAACCCCAGCUAUAGCUGCGUGUGCAGUGGGUGAUUUAUCAAUAGACCAGACUCUGUAGGAAAUAGGUGUUGCUGGAUUGUUUGGAAGACAAAAAGCUGAGACUUCACUAAACUUAAGGAACAGUGGAAAUCCAGAGCAAGAAUAUCUGUUUGUACCACUUUUAUUCAACGUUAUAAUUAAGCUUCUACCCAGAGC
rnacentral:lncRNA from 1 species